rnacentral:rRNA from 1 species
AGUGAACGCUGGCGGUAGGCCUAACACAUGCAAGUCGAACGGCAGCACAGUAAGAGCUUGCUCUUACGGGUGGCGAGUGGCGGACGGGUGAGGAAUACAUCGGAAUCUACUUUUUCGUGGGGGAUAACGUAGGGAAACUUACGCUAAUACCGCAUACGACCUACGGGUGAAAGCAGGGGAUCUUCGGACCUUGCGCGAUUGAAUGAGCCGAUGUCGGAUUAGCUAGUUGGCGGGGUAAAGGCCCACCAAGGCGACGAUCCGUAGCUGGUCUGAGAGGAUGGUCAGCCACACUGGAACUGAGACACGGUCCAGACUCCUACGGGAGGCAGCAGUGGGGAAUAUUGGACAAUGGGCGCAAGCCUGAUCCAGCCAUACCGCGUGGGCGAAGAAGGCCUUCGGGUUGUAAAGCCCUUUUGUUGGGAAAGAAAAGCAGCAGGUUAAUACCACGCUGUUCUGACGGUACCCAAAGAAUAAGCACCGGCUAACUUCGUG